rnacentral:rRNA from 1 species
GACGAACGCUGGCUUUGUGCUUAAACAUGCAAGUCGAACGGAAAGGCCUCUUGCUUGCAAGGGGUGCUCGAGUGGCGAACGGGUGAGUAACACGUGGGUGAUCUGCCUUGUACUCUGGGAUAAGCUUGGGAAACUGGGUCUAAUACCGGAUAGGAACUGCCUUUAGUGUGGUGGUUGGAAAGUUUUUUCGGUGCAAGAUGACCUCGCGGCCUAUCAGCUUGUUGGUGGGGUAAUGGCCUACCAAGGCGUCGACGGGUAGCCGGCCUGAGAGGGUGUACGGCCACAUUGGGACUGAGAUACAGCCCAGACUCCUACGGGAGGCAGCAGUGGGGAAUAUUGCACAAUGGGCGGAAGCCUGAUGCAGCGACCCCGCGUGGAGGAUGACAGCCUUCGGGUUGUAAACUCCUUUCGACAGGGACAAAGCGCAAGUGACGGUACCUGUCUAAGACGCACCAGCUCACUACGUGCCAUCCGCCGCGGUAACACGCCAGGUGCAAUCGUUAGUCCGAAUUACUGGGCGUAAAGAGCUAGUAAGAGGUUUGUCGCGUCGUCUGUGAAAUUCCGGGGCUUAACUCCGGGCGUGCAGGCGAUACGGGCAUAACUUGAGUGCUGUAGGGGAGACUGGAAUUCCUGGUGUAGCGGUGAAAUGCUCAGAUAUCAGGAGGAACACCGAUGGCGAAGGCAGGUCUCUGGGCAGUUACUGACGCUGAGGAGCGAAAGCAUGGGUAGCGAACAGGAUUAGAUACCCUGGUAGUCCAUGCCGUAAACAGUGGGCGCUAGGUGUACGGGGCUUCCACGUCUUCUGUGCCGUAUCUAACGCAUUAAGCGCCCCGCCUGGGGAGUACGGCCACAAGGCUAAAACUCAAAGGAAUUGACGGGGGCCCGCACAAUCGGCGGAGCAUGUGGAUUAAUUCGAUGCAACCCGAAGAACCUUACCUGGUCUUGACAUACACCUGAUCGCUGUCUACAUGUACUUUCCCUUGUGGUUGGGGUACAGGUUCUGCAUGGCUGUCGUCAGCUCGUGUCGUGAGAUGUUGGGUCAAGUCCCCCCACCUAGUACACCCCUUGCCUAAUGUUGCCAGCACUUCGGUUGAUCACUCAAGACAGACUGCCAGGGUUAACUCAGACCAAUGUGCUGAACGACCUUUUACUCAUCCUUCCCCUUAUGCUCCAGUGCUUCUCACAGACUACAAUGCUCGUUUCUUGCACAUCGCCCCUUUCAGGUGGAGCCUAUCGCUUAAAACAUGUACCUAAACACAUUGUCCUUCGUCUACCUGACCCCAUUAAUUCUGAAUCUCCACUCAUC